AUAUUCUAUUUGUGUGUUAUAUACAAUCUUAAACAUGAAAAUGUAUUAAUGUUAUACACAAUUAAAGAUUAACUUGUUUUAUAACAUAGUAAAGAAUCUAAAAAUUCCGCCCCGCAUAAUUUUCGAUUAAUCCUCGAUUUUUUUUUAGGCGCUAGGUCCAACCCGACCGCCCGACUAGCGCCUAGCGCGUUCCCGAACAGGGGUUAUAUGAUAUGGUUUUGUUGUAUUAGUUAAGUUAGAUGACAUUCUCUUGUUUCUAUGAAGUCCCUUCAGAAGUAUUCACCUUGAGUCAAUUCGCAACCUUCCUACUUAACAUGAAUCACCUCAUCAUAACUACCCAAAGCAUGGAAACGCGUAACCAUCUGUUUCUCUCUUGUUCAUACUCAAGUCAAAUCUGGCAGAAGCUUGUGAAAGGGUUACUCCAAUCGAGAUAUACAGAGGAAUGGGAAGACAUUUUCAAUCUCUUGCUUGAUAGUAGACAGGAAAGCGUAAGGUUGUUCUUGCUGAGGUACACUUUCCAAGCUACUGCUCAUACAAUUUGGUGGGAAAGAAAUAAGAGAAGGCAUGGAGAGCAGCAACACCAUAUAGUCUGUUGAUAAAGACAAUUGAUAAGACUGUGACGAACAGAUUAUCUACCAUUAGGCGCCAAGGUGAUCAAAAGAUGGAGGAGGGCCUUAGAAUUUGGUUUGGAACAAGAUGAUAUGUAAAGAUGAGUUUAUACUUUUUUAUCAUUCUAACUCAUAGUUACAUCAUAUAUAAAACAGUUUUUUUGGAUGAAUAAAAUUUAACAUUUAUUCAAAAAAAGAACGGCCUCUAGUCAAUCAAAAAUAUUUAAAUCAACAUAAAAAGGAGAACUUAAAAAACAAAACCCGAACAAGUUAAUGACUCACACAAACUCAGCAACAACUACAUUGAUCAAAAGUUCAAAAGCUCAAUCAAGUAAUUCUUAAGAAUAAGGAUGACCUCUUCUCGGAUCCUACCUACUUUUGAAGCUAAGCAGGAAAUCUUCAAUAUAUCACAUCAAAGAUAUAUAAAAGUUUCCAUCAAUUUUUGUUUGUCAUAAAAUGCAUCAUCUUUUGAUAUAAGACUUUUCUCUCUAGAAAAAGUACUUCUUUGUAUAAAAAGUAUGGUGAAAAUGAAACUCUACUUCUCUUCAGAUUUAGACUCAACACUUGGAGUCCAUAAUAACUGGACAUGAUGUAGGAAGCAAUGAGAUCUAUUGAUGGUUUAUGUAUAUUUCUUGGCUCCGUAUCAUUUCAUGGUCUAAAAAGGACAAUCCACACAGUCUCACAUGUUCAUCUCUUUAUGCUUCAAACUGGGGGUGAAUUAUCCACCCACUUUUGAAUGUGAAAAAUUAUAAUAACACUAUAACCAAAAGCCUCCCAUUAAGAAAUUCUAAUUCAACAUCAGAAAUGCAAAGUGGGUUAACCAAAAAAAUAAAAGCCCAAUAACCAUAUAACUUAGUCAAACUUUAUAAUGGUUAUAUUGACCAAAAGUACAAUUUUAUCCAUACAAAACUAGUACAACGAGUACGACAAAAAAACAUCAUCAAACACAUAUUUCAUAUAUAUGGUUCACUCUUGUAUUAUAAACUUUGAAUUGGAAUUGACACAUGUCCUCUUCAUAUAUUGUUUUGUAAAUAAAUCGAUAUACUCGAAUCUAACUAUAUAAAUAAGAAUGUAAAAUUAGAUUAUUUUCUUUAAAAUCUACAACGGUUACAUUGACCAAAAGUAUAACAUCUUAUCCACACAAAACUAGUAUAACGAGUACGAGUAAAACACGUCAUCAAACGAAGAUUGCAAACAUAUAUGGUUUACUCUCGGAUCAUGAAUCUUGAGUUGGCAUUGACAUAUAUCCUCUUUGUACUUAUAUAUAUAACGAUUUACUCGAAUAUAACUAAAUAAAUACAAAGCAAAACUAAAUAAUUUUCUUCAAAUCUUUUCAUCCCUUUAAAGUUUUUUUUUAUGGUAUCAGAGUCAUGAAUGAUUUUUCCGAUUUUUUCUCUCUUAGAUGCCGAUGGUUCGUCUUAAAUAUGUUAUAUGUCCAGAGACCACCAACUGAAAAAAAAAAUCUGCAAUUGACAACAUGAAAUCUUAAUAUUUGGAGUCUUUUACUUGUUUAGAUUUGAUUUGUGCAAGCCAAUUUUUGGGUAAAAAUAUCUUCAAAUAGCAGUGCAUUAAUCUGAAGGAUUUUACUAGCAACAACCAUUGAAAAAGUAAAAAGUUUUCCAAAGAGAAGUGUCAUGGCUGAAGAGAUGAAUAUCGGUCAGCUGGAUGAAAAUUUGAUUCUGAAAAUCCUUUCUUUAGUUCCAAUAAAAAGUGUCGUGUCAACGAGUGUCUUAUCUAAAGAAUGGCAGUCUCGUUGGAAGUCGGUGCCAAAACUGAAGUUUAAUUCUGAGGACUACCAGAGUGAACACCAAACAUUUUCAGAGACUGUGUACAAGUCUCUCCUUUCAUAUGAACCUGAGGUUCUAGAUAGUUUUCAUCUCAGCUUUGGAUCAGAUAAAGCUGAUGCAGUAGAUGUUGUACAUUGGAUUAAAACAGCGUUUGCUCUA